rnacentral:rRNA from 1 species
CCUACGGGAGGCUGCAGUGGGGAAUAUUGGACAAUGGGCGAAAGCCUGAUCCAGCCAUGUCGCGUGUGUGAAGAAGGCCUUCGGGUUGUAAAGCACUUUCAGUGGGGAAGAAAGCCUUGGGGCUAAUACCCUCGAGGAAGGACAUCACCCACAGAAGAAGCACCGGCUAACUCCGUGCCAGCAGCCGCGGUAAUACGGAGGGUGCGAGCGUUAAUCGGAAUUACUGGGCGUAAAGCGCGCGUAGGCGGUCUGAUAAGCCGGUUGUGAAAGCCCCGGGCUCAACCUGGGAACGGCAUCCGGAACUGUCAGGCUAGAGUGCAGGAGAGGAAGGUAGAAUUCCCGGUGUAGCGGUGAAAUGCGUAGAGAUCGGGAGGAAUACCAGUGGCGAAGGCGGCCUUCUGGACUGACACUGACGCUGAGGUGCGAAAGCGUGGGUAGCAAACAGGAUUAGUACCCGGGUAGUC